rnacentral:misc_RNA from 1 species
UUAAGAAGUAAUAAUGAUUAUAGAACCUCCUUUUCAAGUUUCAAUACAGCCAUGAAAGCUUCUUGGGGUACAUCUACCUUACCUAUUGCCUUCAUUCUUUUCUUCCCUUCAGCCUGUUUCUUGAGCAACUUCUUUUUCCUUGUAAUGUCCCCACCAUAGCACUUGGCCAAGACAUCCUUCCUAAUUGCUGGCAAUGAUUCACUGGCAAUAACUUUUGAACCAAUGCAUGCUUGAAUGGGCACUUUAAACAUCUGUCGUGGUAUAAGCUCUUUCAACUUUUGCGUCAAAGCCCUUCCCACAGCAUAUGCCUUAUCCUUGUGCACAAUAGUUGCUAGCGGUUCAACUGGAUCACCAUUUAUUUGAAUGUCAAGUUUUAUUAAAUCACUUUCCUUGUACCCAACAAAAGUGUACUCCAUGCUAGCAUAUCCUUUACUCCUGGACUUCAACUGGUCAAAGAAAUCACCCACCAUCUCAGCAAGGGGUAAUUCAUAUGUGAUCGAUGCCCUAUUCUCAGUUAUAAAUUUCAUCUCUUUAAAAUUGCCUCUUCUAUCUUGAGCCAGCUCCAUAAGUGGACCAAUAUAAUCUUUUGGUGUAAGCAUUUCAAUCUUCACAAACGGCUCCUCAAUUGACAACCUUUUUCCAGGUUCAGGAAGUAAAGAUGGAUUUGAGCACUCAACAGUAUCGCCAUUUACACAGUUCACUCUGUACACAACACUUGGAGCAGUCGUUAUUAAGCUCAGAUUGUAUUCUCUCUCAAGCCUUUC